UCCUGUUUACUACAACCUCUGGGUCUAUAGGAGUAUAAGUACGGUAAGCAUCAAGAAGCCUUUCUAAAUAGGCUGCUGGGGACUCAUCCAUUCCCUGUCUUACUUCCCCUACUUUAGACAAGUUCAUAGGGCGCUUUCCAGCAGCCCGGAGACCACCCAGAAUAGUCUGGCGAUAAACCUUUAGCCGCUCCCUACCUGCUGAU